rnacentral:lncRNA from 1 species
UUCAUAUUCUUCAAAUUUUCAGCUUCGCAAACCGCCGAUCAAACACUCAAGACCUUCCUUUUCCGAGUAGACAGACACUCCAAGCCGUCGAUUUUCCCGACCCAUUAUCACUGGUACGCAUCGGAGUUCGUCGACCCACCUCAGAUCCUCCACGUAUACGACACCGUCUUCCAUGGCUUCUCCGCAUCUCUCACCCCUGACCAAGUCGCCUCCAUCUCCAGCCACCCUUCAGUCCUCGCCGUGAUCGAGGACCAGCGCAGACACCUCCACACCACUCGCUCCCCACAAUUUUUGGGACUCAGAAACCAGCGCGGGCUCUGGUCCGAAUCUGACUACGGCUCCGACGUCAUCGUCGGAGUCUUCGACACCGGAGUCUGGCCAGAACGCCGGAGCUUCUCGGAUAAGCAUCUCGG